rnacentral:tRNA from 1 species
GGGCCCGUAGCUCAGCCUGGACAGAGCGGCAUGAGAAGAAGCAUUUUGAAUGUGGUUCUUCUCCCGCAAGCCUUCUAAGCUGAAGGUCAUGGGUUCAAAUCCCAUCGGGCCCG